rnacentral:lncRNA from 1 species
GCUCUGUGUUCAGUGCUGUCAUCUCUCAAAAGCCAAGCAGGGAUAUCUGUCAACGUGGAACCUCCAUGAUGAUCCAGUGUCAAGUCGACAGCCAAGUCACCAUGAUGUUCUGGUACUGUCAGCAACCUGGACAGAGCGUGACACUGAUUGCAACUGCAAAUCAGGGCUCUGAGGCCACAUAUGAGAGCAGAUUUGUCAUUGACAAGUUUCCCAUCAGCCGCCCAAACCUAACAUUCUCAACUCUGACUGUGAGCAACAGGAGACCUGAAGACAGCAGCAUAUACCUCUGCAGCGUUGAAGA